rnacentral:rRNA from 1 species
GACGAACGCUGGCGGCGUGCCUAAUACAUGCAAGUCGAGCGGGGAUUAUGCUUGAUCGCUUCGGUGAGACGGCAUAUAUCCUAGCGGCGGACGGGUGAGUAACGCGUGGGUAAUCUACCUCGUAGUUCGGGAUAACAGGCCGAAAGGCUUGCUAAUACCGGAUGAGUUCAUGCUUAUGCAUAUAGGCAUGAAGAAAGGGCUAGCCCGCUAUGAGAUGAGCCCGCGUCCCAUUAGCUUGUUGGUGGGGUAAUGGCCUACCAAGGCAACGAUGGGUAGCCGGCCUGAGAGGGUGUACGGCCACACUGGGACUGAGACACGGCCCAGACUCCUACGGGGGGCAGCAGUAGGGAAUUUUCGGCAAUGGGCGAAAGCCUGACCGAGCGACGCCGCGUGAGGGACGAAGGCCUUCGGGUUGUAACCUCUGUCUGGGGGAUGAGAACGGACGGUACCCCCGGAGGAAGCCCCGGCUAACUACGUGCCAGCAGCCGCGGUAAAGUACUCUAU